rnacentral:rRNA from 1 species
UGGGGAAUAUUGCACAAUGGAGGGAACUCUGAUGCAGCAACGCCGCGUGCGGGAUGACGGCCUUCGGGUUGUAAACCGCUUUCAGCCAUGACGAAGCUUUUGUGACGGUAGUGGUAGAAGAAGCACCGGCUAACUACGUGCCAGCAGCCGCGGUGAUACGUAGGGUGCGAGCGUUGUCCGGAAUUAUUGGGCGUAAAGAGCUUGUAGGCGGUUUGUCGCGUCGAUAGUGUAAACACGCAGCUUAACUGUGUGCCUGCUGUCGAUACGGGCUGACUAGAGGAGGGUAGGGGAGAAUGGAAUUCCCGGUGGAGCGGGGGAAUGCGCAGAUAUCGGGAGGAACACCAGUGGCGAAGGCGGUUCUCUGGACCUUUCCUGACGCUGAGAAGCGAAAGCGUGGGUAGCAAACAGG